CCUACGGGUGGCUGCAGUGGGGAAUAUUGCGCAAUGGGCGAAAGCCUGACGCAGCAACGCCGCGUGCGGGAUGACGGCCUUCGGGUUGUAAACCGCUUUCAGCAGGGACGAAGGGUUUCUGACGGUACCUGCAGAAGAAGCACCGGCUAACUACGUGCCAGCAGCCGCGGUGAUACGUAGGGUGCGAGCGUUGUCCGGAAUUAUUGGGCGUAAAGAGCUUGUAGGCGGUCCGUUGCGUCGGAAGUGAAAACUCGGGGCUUAACCCCGAGCCUGCUUUCGAUACGGGCGGACUUGAGGGAUGUAGGGGAGAACGGAAUUCCUGGUGGAGCGGUGGAAUGCGCAGAUAUCAGGAGGAACACCAGUGGCGAAGGCGGUUCUCUGGACAUUUCCUGACGCUGAGAAGCGAAAGCGUGGGGAGCAAACAGGCUUAGAUACCCCGGUAGUC
rnacentral:rRNA from 1 species